rnacentral:tRNA from 1 species
GCACUGAUGGUGUAAGGGUAACAUUAAAGCUUCCCAUGCUUUAGCUUUGGGUUCGAGUCCCGAUCAGCGCA